rnacentral:rRNA from 1 species
AAUUAUAAAUUUUUAUAUAAAUGUAUAUCUUUUAAUAAUUAAAAUAAUAAUAAAUAUAUUUAAUUUUAGUAUUUUAUUUAAAAUAAAUUAAUUAAAUUUUAAUAAAUUUUAUUGUAAAAGAAUAUUUUUAUUAUAUUAAAAGAUUUAUUAACUUUAAGUAUCUUUUGUAUCAAAGUUUAUUAAAUAUUUUUAAAUAUUUUAAAUAUUUCGAAUUUAAUUGAACUAAAUUAAUAUAAUAAUUAAUAUUAUAAAAUUAUUAUAAAUAUUAUUUUAGAAAUUAUAUUUUAAUCAAAAUUAAAAAUAUCUAAUUUUUUAAUAAAUGAAUUUAAUUCAUAAAUUUAUUUAUAAUAAUUAAUUAUUAAAAAAAAUUAUUAUAUUAAAUUUAAAUAUUAUAAGGGAUAAACUUUAUAAUAAUUAUUAUAAAUUUUUAUUAUAUUAUAUUAAAAAUAUAAUUUAAAAUUUUAAUUUUUAAAAAAAAUUUAAUAAUUUAUAUAAAAAAUUUUUAAAAAAUUUAAUAUUAAUUUUAAUUUUAUUAUUAAAAUAUUUUUUUUAAUUAUUUUAAUUAAUUAAUAAUGAUAAAAUUAGUAAAUUAAUAAUUUAAUUAAUUAAUAAUUUUAAAAUUUAAAUUUAUUAAUUCAGCAAAAUUAUUUAUUUAUAAACAUAUAAAUAUUUAUAUUUACCUGUUUAUUAAAAACAUGUCUUUAAAAUAAUUUAAUUUAAAGUCUAAUCUACUCAAUGAAAUUUAAAUAGUUGCAAUAUUAUAAUUGUACAAAGGUAGCAUAAUAAUUUGUCUUUUAAUUAAAGACUUGUAUAAAAGAUUAAAUAAAAUAUAAACUUUAUUAAUUUAAUUUAAAAUUAAAUUUUAUUUUUAAGUAAAAAAUCUUAAAUUUAAUUAUUAGACAAUAAGACCCUAUAGAACUUUAUAUUAUAAAUAUUAAUAUAAAUUUAUUUUUUAAAUUAAUAUUUAUUAUAUUAUAUUGGGGGUAUAAAAAAAUUAAAAAUUUUUUUAUAAAUAUAAAUUUAUAUAUAAAUUUAUAUAUAAUAAAGAGUGUUAAUUUUUAAAUUAAUAAAUUAAGUUACCUUAGGGAUAACAGAAUAAUUUUUUUAGAAAGAUCAUAUUAAUAAAAAAGAUUAUUACCUCGAUGUUGAAUUAAAAUUAAUUUAAAAUGAAAAAGUUUUAAUAUUAAGUCUGUUCGACUUUUAAAAUUUUACAUGAUUUGAGUUAAAAUCGGUGUAAGCCAGAUUGGUUUUUAUCUAUAAUUAAUUUAUAAAUAUUUGUACGAAAGG